UACGGGGGGGGGCAAGCGUUGUUCGGAAUUACUGGGCGUAAAGGGCCAGUAGGCGGCCAACUAAGUCCGACGUGAAAUCCCAAGGCUUAACCUUGGAACUGCGUCGGAUACUGGAUGGCUUGAAUUCGGGAGAGGGAUGCAGAAUUCCAGGUGUAGCGGUGAAAUGCGUAGAUAUCGAGAGGAACACCUGCGGCGAAGGCGGGUUGCUGGGCCGACACUGACGCUGAUGCGCGAAAGCCAGGGGAGCGAACGGG
rnacentral:rRNA from 1 species